GUGACGUCAUCACGCGCGCGCCCGCCCGCCCGCCCGCAGCUUCUCUGGGUUAGAGUGGUGCCGGCGCUUUCGCUUCCACCGCUGCCGUGAGCGGCGCUUUCCCGCCGGUCGCCCCCGGCGCUGUCUUCCGAGCGUUCAGUCCGCCGCGUCCUCACCGGCUCUCUUGUCUCUGUCACUGCUCGCUGGCAGCAGGCCUGGCCGCUCCCACGCGGAGCGAGCUUCUCCUCAGGGCCAUGUCCAGGCCGAGCAGCGUCUCGCCGCGUCCGCCGGCUCCUAGCGGAGGCGGCACGGGCGGCGGUGGAGGUGGCAGUGGCGGCGGCGGUGGCGGUGGCGGCGGCGGCCCAGCUUCGUGUGGUCCUGGAGGCGGUGGCCGGGCCAAGGGCCUCAAAGACAUUCGUAUCGACGAGGAGGUGAAGAUCGCCGUCAACAUCGCUCUGGAGCGCUUCCGCUACGGUGACCAGAGAGAAAUGGAAUUCCCUUCUUCUUUGACCAGUACGGAAAGAGCCUUUAUUCACCGACUAAGUCAAUCUCUUGGUUUAGUUUCUAAAAGUAAAGGAAAGGGAGCAAAUAGAUACCUAACUGUGAAGAAGAAAGAUGGAUCAGAAACAGCUCAUGCAAUGAUGACCUGUAAUUUGACUCAUAACACAAAACAUGCUGUUAGGAGCCUAAUUCAGAGAUUUCCUGUCACCAAUAAAGAACGUACUGAACUCCUACCUAAAACAGAAAGAGGAAAUGUGUUUGCAGUUGAAGCUGAAAACCGAGAAAUGAGCAAGACAAGCGGGCGACUCAACAAUGGCAUUCCUCAAGUUCCUGUGAAAAGGGGAGAGUCUGAAUUUGACUCAUUCAGGCAGUCUUUACCAGUUUUUGAGAAACAAGAAGAAAUUGUUAAAAUAAUUAAGGAAAAUAAAGUAGUUUUGAUAGUAGGAGAAACUGGGUCUGGAAAGACCACACAGAUUCCUCAGUUCCUGUUAGAUGAUUGCUUUAAAAAUGGCAUCCCCUGCCGAAUAUUUUGUACUCAACCAAGACGACUAGCAGCGAUUGCUGUGGCUGAAAGAGUUGCUGCAGAGAGAAGAGAAAGAAUUGGUCAAACAAUUGGUUAUCAGAUCCGAUUAGAAAGCAGGGUUUCGCCAAAGACACUUCUGACAUUUUGCACUAAUGGGGUAUUGCUUCGUACAUUGAUGGCAGGUGAUAGCACAUUGUCAACUGUGACCCAUGUUAUUGUGGAUGAAGUGCAUGAAAGGGAUCGAUUCAGUGAUUUUUUGCUUACUAAGUUAAGAGAUUUGUUGCAAAAGCACCCAACUUUGAAACUAAUUCUUUCGAGUGCUGCCUUGGAUGUGAACCUCUUCAUAAGAUAUUUUGGAAGUUGUCCAGUGAUAUAUAUACAGGGAAGACCAUUUGAAGUAAAAGAAAUGUUUCUGGAAGAUAUUUUAAGAACUACAGGAUAUACCAACAAAGAAAUGUUAAAGUACAAAAAGGAAAAGCAACGAGAGGAGAAACAACAGACCACCCUCACAGAGUGGUACUCAGCUCAAGAGAAUACCUUCAAGCCUGAGUCUCAGAGGCAGAGAGCUGUUGCUAGUGUGUCUGAAGAGUAUGACUUAUUGGAUGAUGGAGGUGAUGCUGUCUUCAGUCAGCUGACAGAAAAAGAUGUGAAUUGCCUUGAACCAUGGUUAAUCAAGGAGAUGGAUGCCUGCCUUUCUGACAUAUGGCUGCAUAAAGAUGUUGAUGCUUUUGCUCAGGUCUUUCAUCUUAUUUUAACUGAAAAUGUUAGUGUUGAUUAUAGGCAUAGUGAGACCAGUGCAACAGCUCUGAUGGUUGCUGCAGGACGGGGCUUUACGAGCCAAGUAGAGCAGUUAAUUAGUAUGGGAGCCAAUGUCCACAGUAAAGCAUCAAAUGGCUGGAUGGCUUUAGAUUGGGCUAAGCACUUUGGACAGACUGAAAUUGUGGAUCUUCUAGAAUCUUACAGUGCUUCAUUGGAAUUUGGAAAUCUAGAUGAAAGUUCCUUGGUUCAGACAAAUGGGAAUGACCUCAGUGCAGAAGACAGAGAGCUGUUGAAAGCUUACCAUCAUAGUUUUGAUGAUGAGAAAGUAGACUUGGAUUUGAUCAUGCAUCUCCUAUAUAAUAUCUGCCAUAGCUGUGAUGCUGGUGCAAUAUUAAUUUUUCUACCUGGAUAUGAUGAAAUUGUUGGUUUGAGGGAUCGUAUCCUCUUUGAUGACAAGCGGUUUGCUGACAAUACACAUAGGUAUCAAGUCUUUAUGCUUCAUUCAAAUAUGCAGACAUCUGAUCAAAAGAAGGUAUUAAAAAAUCCACCUGCAGGUGUCCGAAAAAUAAUCCUUUCCACCAAUAUUGCUGAGACGAGCAUCACUGUCAAUGAUGUUGUGUUUGUUAUUGAUUCUGGUAAGGUGAAAGAGAAAUCCUUUGAUGCACUGAAUUUUGUUACAAUGUUAAAAAUGGUAUGGAUUUCCAAAGCUAGUGCAAUACAGCGCAAAGGCAGAGCGGGACGGUGUAGACCUGGAAUUUGUUUCCGUCUGUUUAGUAGACUUCGAUUUCAGAACAUGCUGGAAUUUCAGACGCCAGAACUCUUGAGAAUGCCAUUGCAGGAACUUUGUUUACAUACCAAGCUGUUAGCCCCAGUUAACUGCACCAUUGCCGACUUCCUUAUGAAAGCCCCUGAACCGCCUCCAGCUUUAAUUGUGAGAAAUGCUGUGCAGAUGCUUAAGACAAUAGAUGCAAUGGAUGCAUGGGAAGAUCUGACUGAACUUGGGUAUCAUUUGGCUGAUUUGCCAGUAGAACCGCAUCUUGGGAAAAUGGUCCUGUGUGCAGUGGUUUUGAAGUGUCUGGACCCCAUCCUUACAAUUGCCUGCACGCUCGCUUACCGUGACCCUUUUGUCCUGCCUACCCAGGCCUCUCAGAAACGGGCAGCUAUGCUUUGUAGGAAACGCUUCACUGCAGGGACUUUCAGUGACCACAUGGCACUUCUGAGAGCAUUUCAGGCAUGGCAGAAAGCACGAAGUGAUGGGUGGGAGCGAGCCUUUUGUGAAAAGAAUUUUCUUUCACAAGCUACUAUGGAAAUCAUUAUAGGCAUGAGAACACAGUUGCUUGGUCAGCUUAGAGCAUCAGGUUUUGUUAGAGCACGAGGUGGUGGUGACAUUCGAGAUGUUAAUACAAACUCCGAGAACUGGGCUGUUGUUAAAGCUGCAUUGGUAGCAGGCAUGUAUCCUAAUUUAGUCCACGUGGACAGAGAGAAUGUAAUAUUGACAGGGCCAAAGGAAAAGAAAGUACGCUUUCAUCCCACUUCAGUUCUCAGUCAACCUCAAUACAAAAAGAUUCCUCCCGCCAAUGGUCAGGCUGCAGCGAUUCAGGCAUUGCCCACAGAUUGGCUUAUUUAUGAUGAAAUGACCAGAGCCCAUCGAAUUGCUAAUAUCAGAUGUUGUUCAGCAGUGACACCUGUUACUGUCCUGGUGUUCUGUGGACCAGCAAGACUGGCAAGUAACGCUCUUCAGGAACCUUCAUCCUUUAGAGCGGAUGGUAUUCCCAAUGACAGCAGUGACAGUGAGAUGGAAGACAGAACUACUGCCAAUUUGGCUGCUUUGAAGCUUGAUGAAUGGCUUAACUUCAAACUAGAGCCAGAGGCUGCCAGUUUAUUGCUACAGCUCAGACAGAAGUGGCAUAGUUUGUUUUUACGCCGAAUGAGAGCGCCAUCUAAACCUUGGUCUCAAGUCGAUGAAGCUACCAUACGAGCAAUUAUAGCUGUUUUAAGCACUGAAGAACAGUCUGCAGGUUUACAGCAGCCAUCUGGAAUUGGCCAGCGGCCAAGACCCAUGUCUUCAGAAGAACUUCCUUUGGCUUCAUCUUGGAGAUCCAAUAAUAGUAGGAAAAGUACAGCUGACACUGAGUUUGCGGAUGGAUCUACUACUGGAGAAAGCCUUACAUCCACCUCAGAAGUACAAAGAUAGAGGAAUUUUACAUCCUAAGCGGAGCACCGAUGACCGGUCCGAUCAAUCAUCUGUGAAAUCCACAGACAGCAGCAGUUACCCAAGUCCUUGUGCCAGCCCCUCUCCUCCAUCCUCAGGGAAGGGAUCAAAAUCUCCUUCACCAAGACCAAACAUGCCUAUUCGUUACUUCAUAAUGAAGAGUAGCAAUCUGAGAAACCUUGAAAUUUCUCAACAGAAGGGUAUCUGGUCUACAACCCCUAGUAAUGAGCGGAAGCUAAAUCGAGCGUUUUGGGAGAGCAGCAUGGUUUACUUGGUAUUUUCUGUUCAAGGAUCUGGACAUUUCCAGGGAUUUUCUAGGAUGUCUUCUGAGAUAGGAAGGGAGAAGAGCCAGGACUGGGGGUCAGCUGGACUAGGUGGAGUAUUUAAAGUGGAGUGGAUACGCAAAGAAAGCCUUCCCUUUCAGUUUGCACACCAUUUACUCAAUCCUUGGAACGACAACAAGAAAGUACAGAUAAGCAGAGAUGGGCAGGAGCUAGAACCUCAGGUUGGGGAACAGUUGCUCCAGUUAUGGGAACGCCUUCCAUUGGGAGAAAAAACAACUUCUGAUUGACAUUCAGAACUCCUGGCUAUGGAAGAGCGUUAUGCCUGUUGUAGCUACAGAAUGCACUGAUUUUCUGAAAACCUUGAUGAAGUGUUGUAUGCCAUGAGUGGAUUUGAGGCAUAGAGUAUUCCUUCAGAAUCAUCAUCUUCAUAUAGAGGAAAAGAUAAUUUAAAUUUUUCUAGUGGUUUUAAGGAAAUUAUUAUAUAAUGUUUGUUAAUUAUCUGUUUCAGAUGAACAAAAUAGCAAUUUUGGUAUACAACAGCACUUAAUUUAAUUUAAUUUGAAUGUAAACAUUUCUUUAAAAUAUUCAGUUAAUGACUGUUGAUGCCAAAGUCUUUUCUUUUUGCUCUUUCCAGACAGGGUUUCUUUCUUUGUUUAGCCUCAACUGUCCAGGAACUAGCUCUGUAAGACCAGGCUGACCUCAAACUCACAGAUAUCUGCCUGUUUGUUUCUGCCUCCUGAAUACUGGAAUUAAAGGCUUGCACCACCUCUGCCUGAGAUGCCAAACUCUUAUUGUUGACUUUUUGGUUGUGAGCCUAUCCUUUAAUGGCUGAGCCAUCUCUCCAGCCCUAAUGUUGACUUUUUAAUUCAGGAAAGGCAUAAAUAUAUCAGUACAUCUAAGAACCAUUCUAGAAAAGUCGGUUCUUAGGUUUAUCAUUAAAAAAACAACCAACACACUAAAAUUUUAAAUUAUCUCUUACAGAACUUGUAUACAUAAGGGCUAUUCAUUGUUAUUUUUAGCCUGAAAUAUAGUAAAAAACAGGAGUGCUAUUUUUCUCUGAUUACAGAAUGAGAUAAAAAUCUCAAGAAAGGUAAUUUCUCUUGACUUUUGAUGAGAUCAGUGCUUAAUUUCAUUCCUAGUCCUGUCUCUUUUAACCUUAUGUAAAAUAUACCCAUUCUUUUUUUGCUUCCCAUGAAGCAACCUUCACAUAACUAUUACUAUUAUGACCUCUUUGUUUUGCUACAAGAACCCAAUUUAAAAUAACAAAAAUUUAUGGAAAUUAAUACAAGUUUUAAAAAAUGCUCAGCGGUUAUUGAUAGUUUGGUUGCUAUAUAUCUUUGAAACUAAAGCUCACACAACCCAUAAUUCUUCAUGUCUUUUUUCAUUAUUUUUUAAUCUUUUUCUUUCACCUAUUAUAUGUAAAUGGGGCAUUUAUUUUUCUAAGUCUGUGUUAAUGCUAAGUCUCAUGUCUCUUUACCAUCAGAGAGUUACUUUCUUUUAUGCUUUUACCACCAUUGUUUACAGGUUUUCUUUGAGACUCUUGGAAGAUAAAGUAGAAGUGCAGGGCAGAACAUCAGACAUAUCUUUGCUACUGAGCUCUAAAUAGAGCAGGCUUGAUAGUACUUUUCAUAGCAUUUGAAAAUGAAUUUAAUUUAAAGAUGAAAAGAAAACAAAUGUCUGGUUCAGUAUUUGAGGGCAAAGAUAUAGAAAAUCAUGGAUUGGCAUGAAGUCUUGAGAACUCUUCUACUUUCUCUGUGAAAAUGUAUUAAUGCAUUGUUUAAAGAUAUCAGCUAUAACUUUUGCCUGUAUUAGAAAUUGUGAUAUAUAUAUGUAUAUAUGUGUAUAUACAUAUAGAUACACACACAUAUAUGUAUAUAUAUAUGAUACAUGAAUGCAUAUAUGUAUACACACACUCACACACUCAUUCAUAAACUUUGAAGCUGAGCCAGAGUGAAUUAUGCUUCAUUUAUGUGUAUUACAUUUCUUUUGAAACUUACAAUUUUCCUGAUAAUGUAUACUUUUUUAAGGUAUAUAAGUAGAGGUUUUCAGCAUUCUAAAUUUGGAAGAACUUUUAAAGAAAUAAAAUUUGUUUAAAUGUUUCUUGUUUUGUAAUAUCUAGACUUGUAAAUAAAUGAUGGAUUUGUUGGUAGAGUGGAUAUAAUUUGAAUGUAAUAAAAAUACUGUUGAAUAAAUGAAUUUUAAAUAUACUUAUCAAAUGAAA